rnacentral:rRNA from 1 species
AGUGAACGCUGGCGGUAGGCCUAACACAUGCAAGUCGAACGGCAGCACAGUAAGAGCUUGCUCUUACGGGUGGCGAGUGGCGGACGGGUGAGGAAUACAUCGGAAUCUACUUUUUCGUGGGGGAUAACGUAGGGAAACUUACGCUAAUACCGCAUACGACCUACGGGUGAAAGCAGGGGAUCUUCGGACCUUGCGCGAUUGAAUGAGCCGAUGUCGGAUUAGCUAGUUGGCGGGGUAAAGGCCAACCAAGGCGACGAUACGUAGCCGGUCUGGGAGGAUGGUCAGCCACACUGGAACUGAGACACGGUCCAGACGCCUACGGUAGGCAGCAGUGUGGAAUAUGGGGCAAUGGGCGCAAGCCUGAUCCAGCCAUAGCGCGUGUGUGAAGAAGGCCUUCGGGUUGUAAAGCCCUUUUGUUGGUAAAGAAAAGCAGCAGGUUAAUACCCCGCUGUUCUGACGGUACCCAAAGAAUAAGCACCGGCUAACUUCGUG